AUUGAACGCUGGCGGCAGGCCUAACACAUGCAAGUCGAGCGGAUGAAGGGAGCUUGCUCCUGGAUUCAGCGGCGGACGGGUGAGUAAUCCCUAGGAAUCUGCCUGGUAGUGGGGGAUAACGUCCGGAAACGGGCGCUAAUACCGCAUACGUCCUGAGGGAGAAAGUGGGGGAUCUUCGGACCUCACGCUAUCAGAUGAGCCUAGGUCGGAUUAGCUAGUUGGUGGGGUAAAGGCCUACCAAGGCGACGAUCCGUAACUGGUCUGAGAGGAUGAUCAGUCACACUGGAACUGAGACACGGUCCAGACUCCUACGGGAGGCAGCAGUGGGGAAUAUUGGACAAUGGGCGAAAGCCUGAUCCAGCCAUGCCGCGUGUGUGAAGAAGGUCUUCGGAUUGUAAAGCACUUUAAGUUGGGAGGAAGGGCAGUAAGUUAAUACCUUGCUGUUUUGACGUUACCAACAGAGUAAGCACCGGCUAACUUCGUG
rnacentral:rRNA from 1 species